rnacentral:rRNA from 1 species
UUGGUUAAGUUAGAAAGGGCGCACGGUGGAUGCCUUGGCACUAGGAGCCGAAGAAGGACGGGACUAACACCGAUAUGCUUUGGGGAGCUGUACGUAAGCGUUGAUCCAGAGAUUUCCGAAUGGGGGAACCCACUAUCUUUAGUCGGAUAGUAUCCUUACGUGAAUACAUAGCGUGAGGAAGGCAGACCCAGGGAACUGAAACAUCUAAGUACCUGGAGGAAGAGAAAGAAAAAUCGAUUUCCUGAGUAGCGGCGAGCGAAACGGAAAGAGCCCAAACCAAGAAGCUUGCUUCUUGGGGUUGUAGGACACUCUAUACGGAGUUACAAAAGAAAGUUAUAAAUGAAGCGGUCUGGAAAGGCCCGCCAAAGACGGUAACAGCCCGGUAGUUGAAAUGGCUUUCCCUCCAGAGUGGAUCCUGAGUACGGCGGAACACGUGAAAUUCCGUCGGAAUCCGGGAGGACCAUCUCCCAAGGCUAAAUACUCCCUAGUGACCGAUAGUGAACCAGUACCGUGAGGGAAAGGUGAAAAGCACCCCGGAAGGGGAGUGAAACAGUUCCUGAAACCGUGUGCCUACAAGUAGUUAGAGCCCGUUAAUGGGUGAUAGCGUGCCUUUUGUAGAAUGAACCGGCGAGUUACGAUUUGUUGCAAGGUUAAGCGGAAAAAGCGGAGCCGUAGCGAAAGCGAGUCUGAAUAGGGCGCAUAAGUAACAGGUCGUAGACCCGAAACCAGGUGAUCUACCCAUGUCCAGGAUGAAGGUAAGGUAAUACUUACUGGAGGUCCGAACCCACGCACGUUGAAAAGUGCGGGGAUGAGGUGUGGGUAGCGGAGAAAUUCCAAUCGAACUUGGAGAUAGCUGGUUCUCUCCGAAAUAGCUUUAGGGCUAGCCUCGAGGUAAAGAGUCAUGGAGGUAGAGCACUGUUUGGACUAGGGGCCCUUCUCGGGUUACCGAAUUCAGAUAAACUCCGAAUGCCAUGUACUUAUACUCGGGAGUCAGACUGCGAGUGAUAAGAUCCGUAGUCGAAAGGGAAACAGCCCAGACCACCAGUUAAGGUCCCCAAAUAUAUGUUAAGUGGAAAAGGAUGUGGGGUUGCUUAGACAACCAGGAUGUUGGCUUAGAAGCAGCCACCAUUGAAAGAGUGCGUAAUAGCUCACUGGUCGAGUGACCCCGCGCCGAAAAUGUACCGGGGCUAAACAUAUUACCGAAACUGUGGAUGAACCUCUUUAGAGGUUCGUGGUAGGAGAGCGUUCUAAGGGCGGUGAAGUCAGACCGGAAGGACUGGUGGAGCGCUUAGAAGUGAGAAUGCCGGUAUGAGUAGCGAAAGAAGGGUGAGAAUCCCUUCCACCGAAUAUCUAAGGUUUCCUGAGGAAGGCUCGUCCGCUCAGGGUUAGUCGGGACCUAAGCCGAGGCCGAUAGGCGUAGGCGAUGGACAACAGGUAGAGAUUCCUGUACCAGUGCUAAUUGUUUAACCGAUGGGGUGACACAGAAGGAUAGGGAAUCGCACGAAUGGAAAUGUGCGUCCAAGCAGUGAGUGUGAGAAGUAGGCAAAUCCGCUUCUCGCGAAGCAUGAGCUGUGAUGGGGAAGGAAAUUAAGUACGGAAGUUCCUGAUUUCACGCUGUCAAGAAAAGCCUCUAGGAAGAGUAGUACUGCCCGUACCGCAAACCGACACAGGUAGAUGAGGAGAGAAUCCUAAGGUGAGCGAGAGAACUCUCGUUAAGGAACUCGGCAAAAUGACCCCGUAACUUCGGGAGAAGGGGUGCUCUAUUAGGGUGCAAGCCCGAGAGAGCCGCAGUGAAUAGGCCCAGGCGACUGUUUAGCAAAAACACAGGUCUCUGCAAAACCGUAAGGUGACGUAUAGGGGCUGACGCCUGCCCGGUGCUGGAAGGUUAAGAGGAGUGCUUAGCUUCGGCGAAGGUACGAAUUGAAGCCCCAGUAAACGGCGGCCGUAACUAUAACGGUCCUAAGGUAGCGAAAUUCCUUGUCGGGUAAGUUCCGACCCGCACGAAAGGCGCAACGAUCUGGGCACUGUCUCAACGAGAGACUCGGUGAAAUUAUAGUACCUGUGAAGAUGCAGGUUACCCGCGACAGGACGGAAAGACCCCGUGGA